UACGUAGGGGGCAAGCGUUGUCCGGAUUUAUUGGGCGUAAAGCGCGCGCAGGCGGUCGCUUAAGUCUGGAGUUUAAACCUAGGGCUCAACCUUGGGUCGCUCUGGAAACUGGGUGACUGGAGUGCAGGAGAGGAAAGUGGAAUUCCACGUGUAGCGGUGAAAUGCGUAGAGAUGUGGAGGAACACCAGUGGCGAAGGCGACUUUCUGGCCUGUAACUGACGCUGAGGCGCGAAAGCGUGGGGAGCAAACAGG
rnacentral:misc_RNA from 1 species